AGAAGACGCCUGACAACACAAAAACUUUUGUGAUAGGACAUAUAGAUGGACUGAGGAAACCAAGUGUUUUAAAACGUGGGUCCAGAAGAGUUGGCAAAAUAAUGCAUGAUCCACCAUUUUAAGUAGAGGAAUUAUUUUGGAUGCAGAUACCUGCUUCUCCUCACACAGCUCUACGGUUGCCUCAUAGAAAGGAGACAAAACACCCAGACACUCCCCAAUGUAAAAAUACUCCUCAGAUGUGAGUGGAGAAGUAUCGGUUUGAAGGGAUGCCAUAGUUGCACCCACCGCCUCUCUCAGUUCAUGAAGUCGCUGAAACAUUAGAAAGGUGCUGUUCCAGCGAGUUUCCACUUCUUGUAGCAGUUUCAGAUGUGUUUUCCCUAAGUGUUACUGCAUUUGCACAAGUCUUUCCUGU